rnacentral:rRNA from 1 species
ACGCUCGACACCUACGGGAGCAGCAGUGGGGAAUAUUGCACAAUGGGGGAAACCCUGAUGCAGCGACGCCGCGUGAGCGAAGAAGUAUCUCGGUAUGUAAAGCUCUAUCAGCAGGGAAGAAAAUGACGGUACCUGACUAAGAAGCCCCGGCUAACUACGUGCCAGCAGCCGCGGUAAUCUGAGCGGGCUGGCAAGGC